rnacentral:lncRNA from 1 species
GGGAGUAGGAGUAGGACGAAAGGGCGGGGUGGGAUGGGAAGAAGGGGGGCAGGGGGGGAGAAGUCGAGUUCGUCGAUGACGAACACGACGAACUGCCGUCGCGUUGAUCCGUCGUCGUCGUCGCGGCGCUGGUUGGUGGUCCGUUGAAAAUCAGUGCGAAUAUAAGAGGAUACCAAACCCAAGGAAUUCAAGAGAAAAAGAUAAAGGGGUACCGAAAAGA